rnacentral:rRNA from 1 species
AUUGAACGCUGGCGGAAUGCUUUACACAUGCAAGUCGAACGGUAGAGGGGGCAACCCCUCGAGAGUGGCGAACGGGUGAGUAAUAUAUCGGAACGUGCCCAGUCGGGGGGGAUAACGUAGCGAAAGUUACGCUAAUACCGCAUACGAUCUAAGGAUGAAAGCGGGGGAUCGCAAGACCUCGCGCGAUUGGAGCGGCCGAUAUCAGAUUAGGUAGUUGGUGGGGUAAAGGCGCACCAAGCCAACGAUCUGUAGCUGGUCUUAGAGGACGACCAGCCACACUGGAACUGAGGCACGGUCCAGACUCCUACGGGAGGCAGCAGUGGGGAAUUUUGGACAAUGGACGCAAGUCUGAUCCAGCCAUUCCGCGUGCAGGAUGAAGGCCCUCGGGUUGUAAACUGCUUUUGUACGGAACGAAAAGGUCUCUCUUAAUACGGGGGACUCAUGACGGUACCGUAAGAAUAAGCACCGGCUAACUACGUGCCAGCAGCCGCGGUAACAC